GGGAGGCAAGGCCAUCAGGCUUUCUGAUUUUCUUGUUUCCUUCUAUCUCCUGUGAGCCAGGCCUUGUCUUUUGUGAUUGCCUGGAAUGAAAGGCAGACCUUUGAUUCUGAAGCCUCCAGAGUUUGACUUGCUGCAUGGCUCUAGAGAACACUGCCGGGGGGCUGUUGAAUGUUUCCUUCCACCUGAACUUGGAUUUGAAGAGCCCAAGAGAAAUCCUUGAGGGGUCUGAAGGCUCCAGGAAGGGCUGGGCACACUAGAGGAGGUGAUGUAUCUAAGGGCUGGCAAGAUGGCCCAGGAGGUAAAGGUGUUUGAGGCCAAGCCCAACCACAUGAAUUCCAUUCCAGGAAAGAGAGAACAGCCUUCUCCCUCACGUUCUCCCUCAG